rnacentral:rRNA from 1 species
UGAGGAAUAUUGCGCAAUGCCCGAAAGGGUGACGCAGCGACGCCGCGUGAAGGAUGAAGGCCCUCUGGGUCGUAAACUUCUUUGGUAGGGGAAUAACAGGUCGCUACAGGCGGCCGUGAAUGUACCCUAAGAACAAGCAUCGGCUAACUACGUGCCAGCAGCCGCGGUAAUACGUAGGAUGCGAGCGUUGUCCGGAUUUACUGGGUGUAAAGGGAGCGCAGGCGGAUCGGUAAGUCAGUGGUGAAAUCCUCAGGCUCAACCUGGGAACUGCCACUGAUACUGCUGAUCUUGAGUGUGGAAGAGGUCGAUGGAAUUCCUGGUGUAGCAGUGAAAUGCGUAGAUAUCAGGAAGAACACCGAUGGCGAAGGCAGUCGACUGGUCCACAACUGACGCUCAUGCUCGAAAGCGUGGGGAUCAAACAGG